UCCCUGGUGUCUCAGUGGUAAAGAAUCUGCCUGCCAGUGCAGGAGACACGGGUUUGAUCCCUGAUCUGGGAA
rnacentral:tRNA from 1 species